GUUAUCGUAAUCAAGCCGCCCAUUUUAAGAUCGCUAAGAUCAAUGGAUGCAGCCUGUAGCCUGACAGCGACGUGCGGAGUGGGCCGCCCUCAAAUCGAAUUCCAGCCGAGAAACCUGUAAAGCUGCCGCCAAAGAGGCGCUGGUCUCCUCCAAACGAUGCUGCGCCCCCUCCCCUUUCUCCUCCGCGUCUGCUCCCCUCUGCGACAAUGUCCUCCCCUCAUCCUGCUCCUCCUCUUUGUGCUUGUUCUGCUCCCGCUCCUUCCUCCUCUCCUCCUCCUCCUGCCCUCCCAGCAGGUCGAUGGAGAGGCCGGCGAUGGAGGAGCGCGGCGGUUUGACGGGGUGUCGGAGCCAGUUGUCAUGGUGACGACGGUGGGAGACACGGGCCCCUCCUGGUCCUUCGAAGGCGGACGGGGUUUCCUCCGGAGCGUCGCCGAGCCGUCUGAGAUCUCUGCGGCGGAGGAGACGACCGUGGAGCG